rnacentral:rRNA from 1 species
UGCCAGCAGCCGCGGUAAGACGGAGGGUGCAAACGUUGUUCGGAAUCACUGGGCAUAAAGCGCACGUAGGCGGCCUACUAAGUCAGGUGUGAAAGCCCCCGGCUCAACCGGGGAACUGCAUUUGAUACUGGUGGGCUCGAGGACGGUUGGGGUGAGCGGAACUCCUGGUGGAGCGGUGAAAUGCGUAGAUAUCAGGAGGAACACCGGUGGCGAAAGCGGCUCACUGGACCGUCUCUGACGCUGAGGUGCGAAAGCUAGGGUAGCGAACGGGAUUAGAUA